GACGAACGCUGGCGGCGUGCUUAACACAUGCAAGUCGAACGGAAAGGCCUGCUUUCCCUUGUGGAUUGCGGGCACUCGAGUGGCGAACGGGUGAGCAACACGUGAGUGAUCUGCCCCCAACUUGGGUAUAAGCCUGGGAAACUGGGUCUAAUUCCCGAUAGGACUGCAGGGUGGUGCCUGUGGUGGAAAACGAUUUUCUAGUGGUUGGGGAUGAGCUCGCGGCCUAUCAGCUUGUUGGUGGGGUAAUGGCCUACCAAGGCGGCGACGGGUAGCCGGCCUGAGAGGGUGGACGGCCACAUUGGGACUGAGAUACGGCCCAGACUCCUACGGGAGGCAGCAGUGGGGAAUAUUGCACAAUGGGCGGAAGCCUGAUGCAGCGACGCCGCGUGGGGGAUGACGGCCUUCGGGUUGUAAACUCCUUUCGACCGCGAGGAAGCCACCUGGUUGGAAGGGUGGUGACGGUAGUGGUAGAAGAAGCACCGGCUAACUACGUG
rnacentral:rRNA from 1 species